rnacentral:rRNA from 1 species
AUGAACGCUGGCGGCGUGCCUAAUACCUGCAAGUCGAGCGAACAGACGAGGAGCUUGCUCCUCUGACGUUAGCGGCGGACGGGUGAGUAACACGUGGAUAACCUGCCUAUAAGACUGGGAUAACUUCGGGAAACCGGAGCUAAUACCGGAUAAUAUAUUGAACCGCAUGGUUCAAUAGUGAAAGACGGUUUUGCUGUCACUUAUAGAUGGAUCCGCGCCGCAUUAGCUAGUUGGUAAGGUAACGGCUUACCAAGGCAACGAUGCGUAGCCGACCUGAGAGGGUGAUCGGCCACACUGGAACUGAGACACGGUCCAGACUCCUACGGGAGGCAGCAGUAGGGAAUCUUCCGCAAUGGGCGAAAGCCUGACGGAGCAACGCCGCGUGAGUGAUGAAGGUCUUCGGAUCGUAAAACUCUGUUAUUAGGGAAGAACAAAUGUGUAAGUAACUAUGCACGUCUUGACGGUACCUAAUCAGAAAGCCACGGCUAACUACGUG